rnacentral:rRNA from 1 species
UACGGGGGGGGCAAGCGUUGUUCGGAAUUACUGGGCGUAAAGGGCUCGUAGGCUGCCAACUAAGUCAGACGUGAAAUCCCUCGGCUUAACUGGGGAACUGCGUCUGAUACUGGAUGGCUUGAGAUUGGGAGAGGGAUGCGGAAUUCCAGGUGUAGCGGUGAAAUGCGUAGAUAUCUGGAGGAACACCGGUGGCGAAGGCGGCAUCCUGGACCAACACUGACGCUGAUGAGCGAAAGCCAGGGGAGCAAACGGG